UCUAUUUUGUCAGAUAAAUGUGUUAAAUUUAGGAUUUAAUUAUGUAAAUAAAAUUACAAAUAGUA
rnacentral:tRNA from 1 species